rnacentral:rRNA from 1 species
UCAGCAGCCGCGGUAAUACGGAGGGGGCUAGCGUUGUUCGGAAUUACUGGGCGUAAAGCGCACGUAGGCGGCUUUGUAAGUCAGAGGUGAAAGCCUGGAGCUCAACUCCAGAACUGCCUUUGAGACUGCAUCGCUUGAAUCCAGGAGAGGUCAGUGGAAUUCCGAGUGUAGAGGUGAAAUUCGUAGAUAUUCGGAAGAACACCAGUGGCGAAGGCGGCUGACUGGACUGGUAUUGACGCUGAGGUGCGMAAGCGUGGGGAGCAAACAGGAUUAGAUACCCUGGUAGUCCACGCCGUAAACGA